rnacentral:rRNA from 1 species
CCGACUGCUAUUUGGGUGAGAAUAAGCCAUGCGAGUCGAAUGGGAUACCUAAAUCUCCCAUGGCAAACUGCUCAGUAACACAUGAUCAACUUACCCUACAGAGAAAAAUAACCUCGGGAAACUGAGGAUAAUGUUUCAUAGUUGAAUAGGCUUGGAAAAGUUUUUCAAUAAAAGGGAUAAGGAAAAUGGUCCUUAUCCGCUAUAGGAUAGGAUCGUGUUCGAUUAUGGUUGUUGGUGAGGUAACGGCUCACCAAGCCGAUAAUCGAUAGGGGCCGUGAGAGCGGGAGCCCCGAGAUGGGUACUGAGACAACGACCCAGGCCUUACGAGGCGCAGCAGGCGCGGAACCUCCGCAAUACACGAAAGUGUGACGGGGGUACCCAAAGUGCUCUUUCUAGAGCUGUGGUAGGUGAGUAAUGUUCCCUACUAGAAAGGAGAGGGCAAGGCUGGUGCCAGCCGCCGCGGUAAAACCAGCUCUUCAAGUGGUCGGGAUAAUUAUUGGGCUUAAAGUGUCCGUAGCCGGUUUAGAAAGUUCCUGGUAAAAUCGGGUAGCUUAACUAUCCGUAUGCUAGGAAUACUGCUAUACUAGAGGGCGGGAGAGGUCUGAGGUACUACAGGGGUAGGGGUGAAAUCCUAUAAUCCUUGUAGGACCACCAGUGGCGAAGGCGUCAGACUGGAACGCGCCUGACGGUGAGGGACGAAAGCCAGGGGAGCGAACCGGAUUAGAUACCCGGGUAGUCCUGGCCGUAAACGAUGCAUACUAGGUGAUGGCACGGCCAUGAGCCGUGUCAGUGCCGUAGGGGAACCGUUAAGUGUGCCGCCUGGGAAGUACGGUCGCAAGGCUAAAAC